UGCUCAACCUAGGAUGGCAACAUUGUUGAAUGUGACAAUAUUAAUGAGCAUGCUUAGUGGCAAGCAACAAAUGAUCAUUUAUCAUAUUACAAGACUAGUCUUGAUCCUAAGUAACAGUUUUUUCUCCUCAAAUUAUCCAAUUAGAAAUGGAACCUGUCAUGGAGGAUAAUCCCAAGCCAUAUAUUAUCAUUCCAUAAGCACUUGUGUCCUUUUUCUUUUUCAUCAUUCUUGCUCACAAAAGGCGAAAUAUCCUCGUCCCUAGGGUAGGGCCCCACACCCCAGCCUGACAUAACCUAUUAGAAUCUCCAUGAAUCUAUUAAAAUAAUAUGGGGAUCUCUCCCAUUUCAUGAGUCUAUUAGAAUCUCCCUCUCUGAACUCAAUCUGAAAGGAUUUAUGAUCCCAGAAAUUGUAGUCAUGUAUGACUGUGUAAAAAUAGGCCAACAGCCAUUUCUAGUAGAAUGCUCAAAACAGUUCAGGUGAUAUCAACAUGGACUACCAAAUAAUGAAAGGUUAGAAUUGCAGCUUAUGAUCACACAGUGUAAACCCAGAGUGGUCCUUGAUCAUUCACACCACUUUCUGGGUUUGCCAUUUUGUAGGGGGGGCCCACUUGCUACUAAUCUUCUUACCUACAAGGCUACAAAUCACACACUCAGGCCUGCCUUUGAACAUGAGGCCUACAUGCUGCUGCCCCUUUGGCUAUAAAUGUGGGCUAAUUAAGUGAGAGUGUACCACAUGUGAUUCGCAAAAUAUUCCAUGACACAGACUCUUGCUCCGAAAACUUUCCAAUUUCCAUUUCUUCCCUUAGCUUCCCCCAGUCCUCACAGCCCUAGCACACAAAUGUCUGUCUUUCCUUAGUUCUCCCAAUAAUGAGCCGCACACACAUAUAGAUCUUAGAAAAGAAGGCGAGUGUUGAGCAAGAUGGAGAAGCAGGGCACGUGCAUUACUAACUCAUGCAUGUUAAUGGCUUUCGCCUACAACUCUUAAAGCCGUAUAAGUUCUAGCUUCAUGAAUUUGGCUCCAUGAGUUUGUAUUUCAUGUGCCCCUCUUCCCCAUCAUGACCACUUGACCUUAUUACUGUUAAUAUGUGCCAGCAUCUCCGAUCCUUGUGACAGGUAAGUUAUGUAUGUCGAAACUCAAAAGUAUCUAAAUUCUCCUGUUUUUCCUUUCUGAGAGCUUUAAGUCUUUUUUUCUUUUUGAUGCUUUUGAGGAUAAUGAUCAAGAAAAAUCCACGAUGGACGUAAUGUCAAAGAAAAGAUAAACAUUUAGCAAGUGGUCUAAAAUUGUAAUCAAACUGUUGAAAAUGCCAUGGUUGAAAGCUAUGUGGUAGUUAUAGUCAUAAUUACUCCACAUGAUUUCCAACAAUGUAAUUUGUUGCCUAUUCCCCAAAAUUCAAAGUAUACUGUCUCCAUCUCGCCGCUGAUAUUUGCUUCAGACCUUCAACUUGACCUUCUGCACAUAACAUCUCUUCCUGAAUUAAAAAAAAAAAAAAAAAAAAAUUAGAAUGGGUUUUAGUACGUAAAAUCCAUACAGAUAAAGCAGAUUAUACAUUUGAGAUGCUGCAUAUAUGCUGAUAUUUGUGAUUUUUGUAAUCAUCUAUUAGUUAUGUUUUCGUGAAAUAUACUGUUUGAUAAUUCAUUCUGAGCUUUUAACUUAGUGGGGAUACUGAACAAACUAGCCAUAGUUAUGGGACUGAAAAGAUAAAAUGAAUAGAUAGGAAAGCCAAAGAGAUGAUCUGUCAUUUUGUUGGUUGGAUAAAUGUUAUCCCAAUAUGCAAUAAAGGCUCCUCAACUAGUUGGUGGAGGCCAGAUAGGCUACAAACAACUAGUGUUGUUUGAUAAAAAUCCAGGAAAAACAAAUAUACACUGGAGCUUCUGGUUUAUUCAAUGUGCAGUGCUUGAUGGUAUCAUUGUCCACCCAGUGUAAAAUACAAUAUGUUAUAGCACAUACCAUUGUAAUAACUGAUAUUUGCUUCAGAUCAUUAAGAACAUCCAUUUUUUGUUCUUCAUUUACUUUUCAAGAAGACAAGAUAAAGCCUUAAAGAUAAUGACUUGAACAAUGCAAUAUUGACAGAUCGAGAACUCAUGAUCUCUAUUACUAACGAGGAAGCUGUGCAGUGCUUUUUGUUUUGUUGGAUCUUUGUAGUUUCUUCCCCGCUAUGGAUCAUGGCUCGAGUGGCGAGUGGCGAGGCCCUAGUCAGGUGCAUGGAUCUGGCUUGUUGCUGUAAAAAGUGCAACUGGCAAGGCACAUCACAGUAGAGUUUCAUUGAUUCCAUGGAUGGAUAGCUAUUUCACCGACUUUGAACUUGGGAGCAUCAAUUAUUGUUGGCUUCUGCAUACUGUGAUGAGAAACUGUGAAGUCACACCAUGAAUAUAAUGGUGUUUGCUUGGACUUUCGGGAAAGCCCGCAACCAUUUCGCAACCAUUAUUCAAAUGUAUGCUCUAAAGGAAAUUUGCCUUGUAACCUUAGUCGGCAAGGACAACAAAGAGAUAAAUCAGUCUAAGUUUGAACUUUGGAACCUUGUGAUUAUCAAGUCAACUGUCCGACCAACUUGGUUAGGGCUGCCCUGGAUGGUGUUUGCUUUUGUUAUUGGAAACUUCUUUUUUUUUUUUUUGGUCAGAAAAGAAAUUCUUGUUAAUUGGUUAUAUGGGAGUGUUAGAACUGUAAUGGCCUCAAAUUUGUGCAAGUCUUGACAAUAGUUAUGGGUGAAAGCUUGAUUCAUGAACUGUUUAUUGUGUUUUAUCUACUUGUUUGAUACCGUUGGUACAAGUGUAUACAAAAUAAGUGAAUACAUAUUCCCUUAGUGGUUUUUUA